UACGGAGGUGGCAAGCGUUGUUCGGAAUUACUGGGCGUAAAGGGCGCGUAGGCGGCUAGGCAAGUCAGGUGUGAAAGCCCCGAGCUUAACUCGGGAAUUGCAUCUGAAACUGCUGUGCUUGAGUUCUGGAGGGGGUAGUGGAAUUCCCAGUGUAGCGGUGAAAUGCGUAGAUAUUGGGAGGAACACCUGCGGCGAAGGCGGCUACCUGGACAGAAACUGACGCUGAGGCGCGAAAGCUAGGGGAGCAAACGGG
rnacentral:rRNA from 1 species